rnacentral:tRNA from 1 species
GCAUUGGUGGUUCAGUGGUAGAAUUCUUGCCCUCCAAACAGGAGAACUGGGUUUGAUUCCUGGCCAAUGCA